UGUACCAUAUGUUAGGUUCUGCCUAUGCUGCCUUAGUUUUCUGAAUACAGAAAGGUAAAAAAAUGCAACACAGAACAGAAGGAUUAUUAAGGCAGUCAAGAGCUAGGGAGGGACAACACGUCCGGAUUCUAGGAGUUCACUCUAUUUCUGUAAAGAAAUGAUAUGAGAUAAAGUUUAACCAAUUGCCUUAGUCAAAUCUUCUGCUUAUAUGCAUUCCUAGUUGUAGCACUCUUCUGGAUAUAUUGUUACACAAAAGUAUUUGAUGAAAUUUUCUGGCAAAUUCUAAAAGCAGCAGAUGCACUGUGAAGAGCACUCUGUGUAAGUGAUCAUUCAGAAAACAGAGAAAUUGAGCACUAAUCAGAUGGUCAGAUUCCUUUGACAUCAAUCAACAUUAUAUACUAAAAGCUUCUUUCAGGUAACACCGUGUUUCAAUGCAGAACUCCAUGUAACAUGGGAAUCUGGAAGACUGGAUUCUAUUCCUAUUAUUCAGCUUUUGGAGAACUGCUGACACCACACAUACUGAAAUGAGCACCAACACGAUGCUACCAGGACACAUCACGUAUUUGCCUGGAUGUUCCCCCGUUGACAGGAAAAUCACCUGAACAUGUAAGGGGUUUAACUCUUCCUCUGACUAAGGUGAGAAAGUCCAAUCCAUGUCCUGUGAGCAGCAUGCAGCUCAGUCCAGUCUGUCCUGAGGCUGUCCCUUACUCCAUGCCAUCAUGGUGGUCGCUCUGCCCUGCUGAGUGCAGUCAGUAAUUCCAAGCUCAUGGCUUCCUGAUAGGUAACCCUGGCAGCACUGCUCUCACUAUUUGCAUAUUUUAUUAUACCUUUUACCAUUUUUAAAUUAUUUUGGACCCUUAUUGUACCAUCCUUUCUCUCCUCACUUUCCUUCCAAGUAAACAGUUCAUUCCAGUCCCUAAUUAAUUUUCAAAUUUGGUCUCAGUUUAGCAAAUUCUGUAUCUAAAUUUAACAUUCUAAUACUGUUAUCCAAGCAAUCUUUGUUGCAUAUGCUAUUACUGGUACACUGGUACAGUUGGUCUUUCAGGAUGGUACCCUCUAGAUGCUCCCCAGUGUUCUCGAAUUGUCUGUGGGGUUUGGCUGUUUGUGACACAAUUUCCUGUUUACCAUCUCUGAGACUUGCAUGGUAGUUACUUGUGAUGUUCAUCAGUAUCUUAUGUCAAGUCUUAGAUGUUUUGGUGUCCUUUUCACUUAGAGGCAUCUCAUUUGCCUGCAGCUCUAACAUGUUCUACUAACAAUUCAUAAAUAUAUAUAGCAGUAGUGAUGGUCAGGAAGCUAUCAUUAUAGAGACAAUUUAUGCUGGAUUCAAAAAUAUCUUUGUGGUCAUUCAAUCAGCUUUAAAUCUACCUCACUCUCUACUAAUACAGCUUCGACUGCUUCUGAUGGUGGUAUUAUGGGAGAUAGUCAAAGCCUUUAAUGAAGCCUAGGAAUACAUCUACUGCUCUCCCCACACCUAUCAAGUUGAUCAUUUCAUCACUGAAGCUUGUCAGAUUGAUCACUGAUAACUUCCUCUUGGUGAUUCCACACUGAAUACUACUGAUGAUUUUUAAUCCUUCAUGUGACUGGAAAUGGUUUUAGGAUUAGCUUUUCAAUCACUUUCUCAGGGAUUGAGAUUAAGCUGACUCACCUGCAGUUCCCUGGGUCCUCCUUCCUGUUCUGCUUGAAAAUGGAAGUAGCAUUUUAUUUCCUGCAGUCUUCAGACACUGCAUCCAGUUGCCACAAUCAAGCAAAGAUUGUGGAGUGGCCUUGUAAUCACAUCUGUCAGCUCUCUCAGCAUUCAUAGGUCAAUUCAAUUAGAUCACAUGCUAAAGACUGAGGCAAAGAAGAUAUUCAGUACCUGAGAAUUCUCACUGUUCCAGGUAACAAAGUCUCCUUUUUCCUUCAGAAGUGGGUCUACAUUUUCCCCUGUCUUCCUUUCGUUGCACACAGUUGUAGAAGCCCUUCUUGUUUUCUUUAAUAUCCUUGGCAAUUUUUCCUAGAGUUUUACUUUCCUAACUUAAUCCAUGGCUGCUCAAUGUGUCUGUAAUCUCCCUGGGUUACCUUUCCUUUCCACACACUCUGAUAGUUUUCCUCUUAUGUUUGACUUUGGCCAGAAACUCCUUUUUUAUCCAUGCACAGAAUCAUAGAAUAUCCCAAGUUGAAAGGCACCCAUAAGGAUCGUCACAGUCCAACUUUGAUCUUCACAUAGGACCACCCAAAAAUCAGGCCAUAUGGACUGCGGGUAUUGUCCAGAUGCUUCAUGAACUCUGGUAAGCUCGGUGCCACGAUGUCUCACUCUGAUAAUCAGAGCGAGAGGAUCUGAUAUCUUUGAUAAAUGUAUACCUGACAUGAGAUUAAGAAACAAUGGCUAAAUGUUGGUCUGACCUGUUUAUUACAAAUCUAGUUACUAAGGGAGAUGGGGAAGGGAAGGCAGCAACAAUUACGAAUUGCGGUGAUGGGGAAGGGAAAGCGGGUGAUAGGAAAGAUAGAAGAGGAGCAAGAAUUACGUAAAGCAGGGUUAAUCACCACCAUGAUCCAGCAGUGUCCUCUUGCAUGCCAUUCCAAUAGUCCAAAGUCCAUACAGGAGCAAAAGCACAGGGGAGAGAAGCAGCAGAGUGGCUGGCCUUAAACAGCAAGCAGAUACAGUGACAGCAACUCCAAGAGAAAGAGGUAGGUCUCAGGUAGCAGGCCCAGGAGAGUCUGUCAGCAGGCAGAUAUCGCGUCAUGAAGCAUCUGAUAUCAGACACCUACCCUCUUGGUUGUAGAUCCCUUUUAUAUCCUUCUUCUGCCCAUGUGGCAUUCCUGCGCACUUAGGUAAGAGUCAUAUGCUGCACCCCUCACCAUGCAGCUCCAGCUUUGACCAGGACUUGACUGGACUUGUCCAUCUGUGUUUCUCAGGAAGUUUUGAUGCAAAAGUGCAUAAAGAAUAAUCUCUUACACAUGACCACUUCCCCAGGGAGCUAGUUCCCAUGACUGACCAUCGGCUUGGUGAAGAACCUCUUCCUGGUACCCAACCUGAACUUCCAUUGUCACAGCUUCAUUCUUUUCCCUUGGAUCCUAUAACUGGUCACCAGAGAAUCAGCACCUGCCCCUCCACUCCCCUCAUGAGGAAGCUGUAGGCCGCCACAAGGCGUCCCCUCAGUUUCCUCUUCUCUAGGCUGAACAAACCAAGGGACCUCAAGUGCUCAUCAUGUGCCUUCCCCCCGAGACUCCUCCUCAUAUUUGUAGCCCUUCUUUGGAUGCUCUCCAGUAGUUUUAUAUCCUCCUGAAAUGGUGAUGCCCAAAACUACAAAUAGUAUUCAUUGUGAGGCUGUACCAGAGUGCAGAGUACAAUACAGAGGGACAAUCCUUUCUAAUCUUUUGCUAUCAAACCGAACUCCUAGAUCCCUAUCAUAUGUAUGCCUAUAUAUAUCCAGGAUUGCCCAGUUACAGGAGAAGAAUCCAGUACUUGCUCUUACUAAACUAAAAGCAGUUGGUGAUUGCUUAGAUUUCUGGUUUGUUUAAAUCUUUCUGCAAGAUGUCUCUAUCCUUGAGGGAAUCAAAGCUCCUCUUAGUAUUACCUGCAAACUUACUUAGUAUGCAUUCAAGUCCUACAUCCAGGUAAUUUAUUAGAAAAACCCACAAACAAAUGAACAAAAAACCCCCAAACCAUUAAAGAGAACUAGGCCAGAAUGGAGCCCAGGGCAUGUGAAUAUGGUGUUGCCCUCCUUUGUCUGCAGAGGGCCAUAUCUGCUUGCUUUUCCUGGUUAGGUGUCCUGUAGCAGACUCUCACUAUAAUGUCCUCUCUUUAAUCCUAGCCCAUAAACUAUCCUUAUACAAGCUCAGACAGAGCUACAUAUUGUCUAGCUUCUGUUUUUGACAAUGAAGUUGAUACCCCCUUCUUGUUUCCCAUCUUGUUCUUCCUAAAGGGCUUACAUCCUGCCAUUGCAGUGCUCAAAUCAUGGAAGCCAUCCGUUUUGGUCUCCAUGUUUACAAGAAGAUCAGAACUCUGCAAGUGUAUGCACAUCUCUAACUCAUCAUUUUUAUUCCCCAUGCUGCCUGUGUUGGUGUACAGGCACUUAAGCACAUUGUGAUCCUUGAAAGUAUUUGGGAGAAUUUUCUCUAAUGGUGCCUUGUAGGCAUUUGCUUGCUAACCUGCAACUUCUAAAGGUGACCCUGCUCAAGUCCCAUACAGUUUAUCUUGUGUUCCCUCUCUAUCACAUCACUUCAUGCCCCUUGUGUAGUAGUCCUGUGUGUCACUCCUUCACAGGGCUGCUGGCUACCCUCUUCCUACUCCUUCCUAUUUUAAAGCCCUUCAUUUGAGUUCAGCCAUUGUAAUAUAUUUACCCAUCUUAGAAAACUACAUCCUGUCUCUCCCAGGCAGACACUGAUCCUCAAACAGGGUCCCAUAGUCGUACAUCCCAGACCCUUGCUGCUGUCAUCAGUUCUGCAAUUACUUACCUUUCAUGUUGGCACUCUCCUCCUCACAUCCUUUCCCCUCAACAGCAGAAUUGAGAAGAUCACCACCGUUGUUUUAUUUGAUCUUCUUAAAAAAGUAUUGCUGGACCUGGUGCUCACCAAAGUAGAGGAGAUUGUUAAAGACAUUAAGAUCUGAGGCAGCCUGGGCUGUGGCAGUCAUGCCCUGAUUGAGUCUGUGGUCCUGAGGAAUGAGGGCCUGGCAAAGAGUGAUAGUCAGUUCAGUCUUAACUAUAAAUAAAAAUAGUUCAGGCUAUUUAAGGAAUUGUUGGAUGAGAUCUCCUGGGGUGUUGUCCUUAGAGAGAAAGUUGUGGAGCAAAGCUGGCUACUCUUUAAGGAUGCCCUUCUGAGAGUGCAAAAGCUCUCCAUCCCUCAGAAUAAGAAAGCAGAAAAAGGAGGCAGGAAGCCAGCAUGGCUUAACGAGUACCUACUGGUCAAACUAAAAGAAAAGAAGGGCAUGUACAAGCAGUGGAAACAAGGAUGGGUCACCUGGGAAGAAUACAGGAAUGCUGUCUGGACAUGUGAAGAUGGGAUUAGAAAAGCCAUGGCACAUAUGAAACUGAACUUAGUGAGGUAUGUUAAAAACAACAAGAAGGGUUUCCAUAGGUACAUUGUUCAGAAGAGACAGGCCAAAGAGAGAGUAUCUCCUCUGAUAAAUGAGAAGGGAGAAUUGGCUACAACAGACAUGGAGAAGGCUGAGUUCUUUGCCUCAGUCUUCACUGGCAAUCAGGAUUCUCAUAUUUCUCACAUCUCUAAAUCUCACAUCUCUGAACAUCUUGGUGAGAAACUGUUAGAGCAAAUUCCCCUCACUGUAAGGGCAGAGCAAGUCUAAGAUCGCCUCAUGACACUGAAUGUGUACGGGUCUAUGUAGCCAGAGGACACAUAUCCCAGGGUCCUAAGGUAAAUGGCUGAUGUGGUUGCCAAGCCACUCUCCAUCAUAUUUGAAAAGUCCUGUCCUGCCAUCCAUUGCAGCAUUCCAGUCAUGGGAGUGAUCCCAACAUGUUUCCGGAAUGGCAACUAGGUCAUAGACUGCCUGCCGCACAAUGGCUUCCAACUCUUCUUGUUUGUUGCCCAUGCUCCGUGCAGUGCUGUACACACACUUCAGCUCAGCCCCUCACCUCACCCCUAAUCCCAUUAUUGUUCCCCUAGGGUCAUCUCUAGCAGUUCUCAUUUUAUCCCCUUUCAUCUUCAUAUCUAGUUUAAAGUCCUCUUGACAAGUCCUGCCAAUUCCUGGGCAAGGAUCUGUUUCCCCCUUUGAGACAGACGAUACCCAUCGGCAAACCUCAGGUCAAGUGCUGAGUAGACCGCCCAAUGAUGAAAGAACCCAAAAUUCUUGCAUUUGCAUCAGCCUCUCAGCCAUGUAAAUUGCCGCUGAUCUCCAUAGCAAUGACUGUUUCACAUGUGAGGAGGCUGUUUAAACUAUACCACAGUUGUGCCAAUUCCACCCCUGCUGGCUCAGCAGCCCACCCACAAGCUGCCAGCCCCCUGGCACUGGUACAGUGAUUUUUUUUUUUUUUUUUUAUUUCAAUUGUAAGUUUUGUACUGAGAGGGUGGUGAGGUGCUGGAACAGGUUUCCUAGAGAGGUUGUGUUUGCCCCAUCCCUGGAGGUGUUUAAGGCCUGGUUGGAUAGGGCCCUAGGCACCCUGAUCUAGUACUUGAUGUAGCAGUUGGAAACGCUGCCUAUGGCAGAUGUGUUGGAACCCAAUGAUCCUUGAAGUCCUUUCCAUUCCAAGUAAUUCUAUUGUUCUAUGAGAAUUAUAUUCUAGCUUUUGUGGAAUUUCUCAUAUGGCUGUUUGGGAUUAAAAUAUAAAGUAUGUCUCUAUAAAGCUAUCAUUUACGUUUUACAUCAGUUUAUUCCCAAAUAUUAAGAAUUCAUUCAUACCUGCUUGCUUGUAUGAAAUUUCCUUAUAAAUAUGUGCAAAUGAAUUUAAAGAUCACAGGAAGGGAUGUUUGUGAGAUUCUUCUUUAAUAUGAGUUAAUAAAGUGCAAUCGUUUAUCUCUCCUUUUCAGUGCCAUUCAGAUUUGACCUCUAUAGUUGCUAAUUUUCUGUUGACAAGAGGAUGUCAUUUCUGCCAGUGGGAUGUGUUUUAUGACAUGCACAAAUAACAAACUCAGCUCCAAUUAUAUGACCUGAGUCGAAAAUACAGCAAUUGGUCUUUAGAAUUCAGAACCUUGUGCCCCAGCAAAUCCUCCAGUCUGAAAAAUCUGAUUAAAGUUAUGUUCUCAUGCAAAAAUCAUUAUUCAGUUAUUACAUUAGAAUGUAAAGGACAGAGAAAGACUGUUUCUCUUUAUUUUUGACUCAUUUGACUUCUCCUCUUCUCUUCUCUUCUCUUCUCUUCUCUUCUCUUCUCUUCUCUUCUCUUCUCUUCUCUU